rnacentral:rRNA from 1 species
AGGGUGGAGAGCAUGCUGGGUGAGCUAAAAGAAAGGGGGCAGGGCCAAUAGAGGGAGUACCAAAAGAGGGGGACCGGACGAGGAGUGCGGCCACAGGGCGCGGUGGGGACGGCUGGAGGCCGGCAGCAGGUUUUAUUGUCGUGGUACCUAGGGCUACACCUCGAGGUAACGCCGGGCUAGACUGGACCCUCGCUGGUCUAGGCACGCAGAGGCGGAACGAGGCGCGCGGAGGUACCAGGCAGCAGAAGGGCUCGCAGCCGCGGCGCGGGUCGGCGGCGGCAGGGUACGGUACCAGCGGAGGGAGGUCUUGAUGCACGGUACCGGAGGAGGGACGGAGAGGGCGUUUAAUUGAGGGUCGUUGGCAUGUACUCGGGGUUCCGUGGUGCACUAAGACUACUAUGUGGUUGUGACCCAGCCAGGAUGUAACAACUGGACGAGGUAAGAUAGGCCGUCGAGGUAACCCUUUCGUGGUUGCAUUUUUUGGUGGCGUCCUGUUUAAGCGAAGUUAAAACAACAAUCACUGUCUACCGGCGUGGCGAGGGUGGCGCCGCCGCCGUUGCCGUUAGAAGGGGAGUUACCAGCACAGCAUGGCGAGGUUGCGGUAGGCUCUGUUGGUAGCGCACCACCUCCUCCCGGUGGAGCUCAUGUAGCCCCUUCGCCACUCGCGCCAGCGACUGUGUACAAGACAACUCAGGAGGUAAAGUCAAAGGUCUGGAACACCGGCUACUCCGCAUGGACGCACAAAGAAACUACCAGCUGUUGCUCUAGGUUUGAGGUUCAUAAGCACCUAUAUCCCUUGUCAAUACCAUGUUUAUCUGAACUAACAUGACUAUUAAAAGUCGAACGUGUACCUAGGGAAUAUCAUACGUUAAUUCGAACUACUGUUUAAGAACCUCUCUGUGAUCCACGGUCCAACCUCUAAACCCUAGCCUACGCGGUUAUUGUUCCCUGGUUCCACGACUUGAUUGCCGUGCCCGUCUUACUAAGAAGUACAUGGUUGUAUCAGCGGCUGAUCUCUUAAUUCAAUUGACAAACUAAAUGAACUUCGAGGUAUAACAUCAAUAAAAUAAGUAAGUGAUUAAACCAUAUUAGGAUGAGAUCCUCCUAAUAGUGACAUACUAUACUCUAGUACUGCAAAUCGUUACUAUUUUGAGACUGUAACCUACCAAGAAAAGACUUCAUGUCAACAUUCUAGAUACUAAGAUCGAAGCUGGAAAUUGACCUGUCAUGAUUAACCUGUAUAUUAACUAUUUAAUACGUGUUCUAUAAGACAACAGAAAACAAGAGGUUAGACUAAGUAGAUCGUGAAACAACUGAAAGAUUAACAAGAUGGGAGAUGGAGACUUUGUUUAAACCACUAAAGACGAUACUAUCAAAGGUCAUAUCAGCGCUCAUACGGGUAGUUAGCAUUUUUAUAUAACAAACUGAAUCAGCAUCCAAGACAUCAUCAGAACGGAACCGAGACGACGGAGAGGAGAGACGAGGAACGACGGACGCCGACAGGGUAGAGAGGAUCGCGACGACGACGUGAAGAAGGCUUCGAGAAGAGUUGGGACAACGAAUUCAAGAAGAGACUUGAGGUUGGACAACGACGAAGAAGGUACAUAAAUCAAUGUACUAAAAUUAAACUAGCAGAAGAACGUAGAAUAAAAACGACUGAUACUAUAAAGGAAUCCAAGUGGAACUGGAAGUGACGGGCACAUUCUCGAAUUCAUUUAACUACAACAUAGUAGUCUUAGACAUCGGAACGAGUCAAAAAAACAGAUAUGUAUGUGAAGUUAAGGAACGAGCGUGAGUUUAGGGAGAAACAGUGUCCUACUUAGUCUUUGAUUUCUACUACUAUGCUACCUAUGUCUUCUUCGAAGGAAACAGGAGUAGCGACGUGACAUCAGAAAGUCGGUUCGAGACCACUUACUACUACCUCUUUUUCUAUAGCACUGUCUCCAACUACAGAAGAACGCAGGUUGGGAUCUAGUGUCCCCGAGAGAAUAGUCGUUUUAUCGAUGAGAUCUACGCGUCUACUGCUAGCGUUCUCUAGUAUAGAACUCCUAUUCACUUAUUGAAACUCCAGAUGUACAGUUCAUAUCUUUCUCUUUGGACUACUGCUGUUCACACAGCAGCUAUAGAAACGACGGUGAAGAAACGGUCGGUCUCACCGAACAAAAAUCACUGCUAGUACCACAUGUACACACAUAUACAACACAAGACUAUAUGACAUGAUGUUCUAAAAGAACCUUACCAAACCAUGAAGGCCCUAAAUCUGAUACUUCUCGCAUACACAUACGACCAAGGUAUAUGAGACAUGCAGACCAAUCGUCCUCUAAUUCGUUACCCGCUCCAAAACAUAGAAGAGUCCCCAACGAUACGUAGAACGGAACGUAUGAGUCGAUGCACACCAGUCACUAUUGUUAGCUGCCUUAGAGGCAAUUUUUCACAAACAUUAAUGAUCGUCGUAAGGUAUUAAACAUAUCCCAACAGGACAACAACGUUGGAUCCUUCCUGUUUGUCCCAGCCAGCAGUGGUGUCUAUUUUUGUAACAGCUCGGAAUGAAAAACG